GACCUGUUAGCGCAGUCGGGAGCGCGCCUGUGCCGUCUGAAUGAUCUAACAAAUCGCUUUGCGGGAGGCCUCGGUUUGAGCCUGGGACAGGUUG